GAAACAACUCUUUGAUUUUGUUUUCAAUAAUUUGACCAUUAAUAAAAGUUUCAAAAAAUGAUCCCCUUUGCAAGCAGAAUUAUUUUGUAGCAGCUCUUAAAACCUUUCCAUUCAAGGAUAUGUAAUCUAGAUAAACUUGACCAACUGGUUUAUUUGCUGUAAAGGACAAAAGAGUUUUCACUGUAAUCACCUCAUACUGUCUGGAUAAUUUUUAAUCCUUAAUAUGUUUUGUAAGGAAUCAAUAAGAUUAAGCCAGCAUUAAAACAGACUCAAUGGUUUGAACCUUGUCUUAGAUUCUUAGCGAGUCAGCACAAUCUCACUGUAGCAGCCAUAAAUAUGGGAUAUAUAUGGUUUCUUAAUCUCCAUGCCCAAGUUUUCCUCUUCAAAGCAGUUGCCCAUCUUAUAUCUUUUUCUUGUCCGUGUUUUUUAAGUAACUUUGCAACUAAGUGAAGGAAUAUCAACUACAGUACAUGAUUAAUAUUCCACCAAAUAAAAUGCCAAAGGCCUGAACCUGUGUCCCACAUCUAUAAAAACAAUCAUCAUUGUGAGGUUCUACAAAAGGUAUUUGGACAGCUACACAAAACGUCACAGUUGCCCCCCCCCCCCCAUAACAAUAUUUAUUAAUAUCAGAAACACAUGACUUUUGGUGGUCAUCUAAACACUUCUUAUAGUGAAAUCAGGCAUGGAAAGGGAUUUGUUAAUAUAGCAUUGAUAACUUGCGGGGGUUGUUAAGUCCUGGGGAUGUCAACUUUUGAACAUGAAUUUUGUGGCCUUCCAACUAUGUUUGGCAAUGGUUGUUUAUGGCAUUCAAUGUUCCGUGUAAGAUUUGGAGAGCACAAAGAAUAACAGAAUCAAGUAUCUGUUUAAGUACUACCAGAAAAUGUUCCUUUUCCACUAUACAGCUUUGUUUGCUUCAAUGGACGGGAUACUUCUGUUGUAAAAAGUUUGGAAUCAAGUCAGAAGUAAUUGCAUACCCUUGCCUCUGGCAUUUUUUAAAAAGAACAAAUUGAUUGAAAACUCAUUUUUCUCCUGUUAUUGAGUCACACAUGUUGUUGCCACACGCAUGCAAAAUGUAAAUAAAACUCAAAUUGCACAAAGAAUUACCAAAACCCAUUAUUAACUUUUAAACGACUGAGAAAACAUCAAUUAGCCAAAGCAAAUUUUUUUAAAGUUUGAUCAAAUCAAAAUUUUUUUUUCUGUUGUCAAGGCAAAGAAACCACGCAAAAUUUCUACUUGAAGUAACCUAAGAAACUGGUAUAAGAAUUUCAUUAUCAAUUCUGUAGAAGAUCUAAGAAAUAACCCAACGUUUUACUUCCAGUGAGAUGCUCUACAACUCCUCAUAAUCUCAUUCCUGCAUCAGGCAGUAGCAUCAUUCCAGUUGCGGACAAAAUAUAAUGACAAAUUUAUGCAAGUCCUGUCAUAAAGUGCUUGAUGCUGUACUUAAAGAAAUACACGCUUGUGACAGUAAUAAACGAAAGCAAUAAUAAACGGUCUUGAAAUUAAGCUUGAGUAUAAUCUGGUAAUAAUGGGGAGAGACCUGGGUGGAUGAAAUGUGAAUUUGAUAGCUAUGUUUUACGAUUGAAUGAUUUUUAAAGUCACAGUUAAGUUCAAGAUUAUCUUAAAAAUGCAUUAAUGUCAUAUGCAACAAGAAGUUAAUUGCCAACAGCAUCAAAUUUGAAUACUAACAAUAUAAACAGAAAAUGGCUUUGAAAAAAGCAAACAUUUAGUAAACUAAAGCUUUUCGUCUGACACUCUUCAGAGUUUGAAACGUCAGAUCAUAGAUCUAAAACUCGUUCUAUGUUCUGACGUUUUAUACUCUGAAGAGUGUCCGACGAAAAGCUUUAGUUUACUAAAUGUUUGCUUUUUUCAAAGCCAUUUUCAAGUUUUGUACCACCAAAAGAUUGUUUUAAUAUCUGAUCACGUUUCAUGAGAAAAUCUCGACAAGAAUCCAGUUUUAUUCAUAAUUUCUCUUUAAUUCAUGGCUCGCUCCAAAUGUUGUUUAUGUUGCUCACAUAAACAUGUUAUGGUUCACUUCGAAGUCUCGUUUUACAAAUGAGUUUUACCUUUUGUAAUUGUUGGCGGAAAAAUUUAUUUAUUU